CAUGCAGUAUAGGAAACUACUGAGAUGUUUCAGAAUUCUUAGUAAGGCGUGAAUAAUCCUGAAGGUGUCUUCGGAGUUCGAGAAAAAUAUUUUCUUUUAGUAAGAGCAGCCCUCAUGUAACGAAUCCCCGGUCUGCCUUGUCCUAUUCCACCCUCACAACAGCCUCACAAAUCUCAAUGUUUACCCCAUUUUACAGAUAAGGAAAAUGGGGUUCAAUAGCCCGCCUGGCAGAGCCCUAGAAAUCAGUGCAGUUACGCAUCCAAUUCAGAAGAUCCUUUCUUAAAAACCCAGACUGUUUGAAGUAGUAGCCCCCUUCUGGGAUUUUGCUUUCCUCCAUUUCAGUUACCUGUGGUCAACCUCCUUCUGGAAUAGAUGACCUUCCUUUUGAGAUACAGGCAGAAAGUCAGUAGCUUCUUCUCAAGGCACACCUCAUUCUCCUCAUAUCUCAUCAGACUUACCAUCCUACUUAGGAAUUUGAGUACGAUGUUGAAUACGAGCGAGGAUAGCGCAGAUUAGAGUUUUACUUCAUCUCAAAGGACUCAUGCUUACUACAAUGGGCCAUAUGGAAGAACGAGGAUUCUGCACUCAGAGUACCUAGUGCAGGCAGCUUCAGGUCUCCAUAAAAGACUGGUCUCAUUCAAGGACUUGGAUCAGACAGCAGAGUAUGGAUUCUAUUGCCAAUGCCUGGCGGACAAGCCCAGAUCAGGCCUUAAAGUGGGAGGCAGGGUAGCACUCUUCAGAAGGACGGAGAAUAUAUUAGGGCUUAAACUCACAAGCUGAAGAGGGAUUUGCCUGCCCCACCCACUGAGCCACCAGGACCCCAUUGUUAAUGUCUCCUUAUGCACCUGCAGAAGUACUUGUUUAAGGAAACAUGG